rnacentral:lncRNA from 1 species
CUAACAUUAGCUAUGAAAUAAGUACGCCCCAGGCUCCUCUGGCUGUGGUAGAUAUCCUUCUGUGCUGUGGCCUGGGAUUCUGGGACUGCAUACAGAGUGAAAGAAAGAGCAGAAGUCCACAGUAGAAUACAGCCAAGCAGUCCCACUGAAGAUCACAUAACACUUGCAUGGCAGAAAGAAGAGAGAAUUUCCAGCCAGCAGUUGUAAAAGUGGGAGGACAUAAACAACUACAGUGUAUCUAGCUGGUAAAUGAAUACAAGAAUUAUGGGGACCAAAAAUUAAUUCCAUUCACACCUGCCUGUCUCAUCAAAAGGAAGUGAAUUGCAGAGUAACUCAAAGGAGGGGCUCCUGCCUCAGAAAGCAUUACAAUGACUCCAAAGACCUACACAGAGGCUCUGUGAAAGGUGUUGCUGAAGGCUGGUUUGGAGGCCCUCAAUGGAUUGGACUGGAUGGUGCCCAACCACAGUGAUGAGAGUGGAUCUUCUUUACUGUCUACUGAUUCAAAUGGUAAUCUCUUCUGGAAACACCCUUACAGACACCCCCCAGAAAUUGUGUUUUACCAGCUAUCUGGGCACCCCUCAGCCCAGUAAAGUGGACACAUAAAGUUGACCAUAAACUCUAUCACUAGCCCAUGAGCCUGAGCUUCAAGUGCCUCUCAGAGAGACACUAUGAUUUGGACAACUGUGGAUACUUCUGGUGGCUGGGGAUUAGAAGGAACACAUUUGUUGGGGACACUUGGAGUCCACUGAGGACUGGGGAAAGAAGGGUGGCAAUGUAGCAAGAAGGAGAAUCAGGGGCUGGGACAGACAGGAGGCCAGAAAGGGAUCUGGAUGGAGUAGAGAAGCAG